rnacentral:rRNA from 1 species
UACGGAGGGGGCCAGCGUUGUUCGGAAUCAUUGGGCGUAAAGGGCGCGUAGGCGGCUUGGUAAGUCCGUUGUGAAAUCCCUCGGCUCAACCGAGGAACUGCGACGGAUACUGCUUGGCUUGAGUCCCGGAGAGGGUAGCGGAAUUCCCAGUGUAGCGGUGAAAUGCGUAGAUAUUGGGAGGAACAUCGGUGGCGAAGGCAGCCCUCUGGGCCAACACUGACGCUGAGGCACGAAAGUGUGGGGAUCAAACAGG